CAAUAGCGUAUAUUUAAGUUGUUGCAGUUAAAAAGCUCGUAGUCGGAUUUUGGCUGAGAACGAUCGGUCCGCCGUUAGGUGUGCACUGAUUGGUCUCAGCUUCCUGGUGAGGAGGUGUGCUUCACGGCCACUUAGUCACCGUGGUUACUUUGAAAAAAUUAGAGUGUUCAAAGCGGGCUUACGCUUGAAUAUAUUAGCAUGGAAUAACACCAUAGGACUCCUGUCCUAUUUCGUUGGUCUCGGGACGGGAGUAAUGAUUAAGAGGAACAGUUGGGGGCAUUCGUAUUUCAUCGUCAGAGGUGAAAUUCUUGGAUUUAUGAAAGACGAACUUCUGCGAAAGCAUUUGCCAAGGAUGUUUUCAUUGA
rnacentral:rRNA from 1 species